CAAUAGCGUAUAUUAAAGUUGUUGCGGUUAAAAAGCUCGUAGUUGGAUUUCUGUUGGGAACGACCGGUCCGCCCAUUGGGUGUGUAUCUGGCUUGUCCUCGGCAUCUUCUUGGUGAACGUUGCUGCACUUGACUGUGUGGAGCGCUACCCAGGACUUUUACUUUGAGGAAAUUAGAGUGUUUCAAGCAGGCAUAUGCCUUGAAUACAUUAGCAUGGAAUAAUAAGAUAGGACCUCGGUUCUAUUUUGUUGGUUUCUAGAGCUGAGGUAAUGAUUAAUAGGGAUAGUUGGGGGCAUUCGUAUUUAACUGUCAGAGGUGAAAUUCUUGGAUUUGUUAGAGACGGACUACUGCGAAAGCAUUUGCCAAGGAUGUUUUCAUUGA
rnacentral:rRNA from 1 species